AUCUGUCCCCUCGUCCUCGUCCUCGUCCUCGUUGGAAUGGAAGCUCUGUGAGCUCGAGACCCUUGCCUGUUUUGUUUGCUAACGAAUCCCAAGCACCCGUGCCUGGUCCAGAUCUGGCCUCUGCAAAUACUUGUUGAAUGGGUGAACAAAUAAGGCCUUCCACGGUUGAUGGGGGGCAGGCCGUGACUCUGCCUACUGUCUGACAUUUGUGUCUCCAAAUCACCACGUUUCCCUGACCUCUAGGUGACCGAGGAAGAUCGCCCACCGAGACUCCUGUUGUGCAGAAGUGCUUCGUGGCUUUGAGGAGGUGGAGCUCCCAACACCUGGGUUCCUCAGCCAGACUGCCUCGUGGACCACUCCUUAAAAGACCCAGGGCUCCUCCCAGCUGACCCUGAAGAGGGAAG
rnacentral:lncRNA from 1 species